rnacentral:rRNA from 1 species
UACGUAGGGUGCAAGCGUUGUCCGGAAUUAUUGGGCGUAAAGAGCUCGUAGGCGGUCUGUCGCGUCGGCUGUGAAAACCCACGGCUCAACUGUGGGCUUGCAUUCGAUACGGGCAGGCUAGAGUUCGGUAGGGGAGACUGGAAUUCCUGGUGUAGCGGUGAAAUGACGCAGAUAUCAGGAGGAACACCGGUGGCGAAGGCAGCCCCCUGGGCCAAUACGUGACGCUCAUGCACGAAAGCGUGGGGAGCAAACAGG